UACGGAGGGUGCAAGCGUUAUCCGGAUUCACUGGGUUUAAAGGGUGCGUAGGUGGGAAUGUAAGUCAGUGGUGAAAUCUCCGUGCUUAACAUGGAAACUGCCAUUGAUACUAUGUUUCUUGAAUUUUUCUGGAGGUCAGCGGAAUAUGUCAUGUAGCGGUGAAAUGCUUAGAUAUGACAUAGAACACCAAUUGCGAAGGCAGCUAACUAAGCGAUUAUUGACGCUGAGGCACGAAAUGCGUGGGAGUCAAACAGG
rnacentral:rRNA from 1 species